rnacentral:lncRNA from 1 species
GCUAUAACAAAUAUUUAGAAAAGAGUUAAUUACAACCUUACACAAACUCUUUAAGAGAAAGGGAAAUCGUCUCUUAAUGGUUUUGUGAAGUGUGAUAAACUGAAUUCUAAGAUGUCUUCCCAAAGAUCCCAUGCUCCAAUACCAGAAGAGGUGAGAUGUACUUAAGGUUACUCAUUACUUGACCUUAAAAUGGUGACACUAUUUUUAUUAUUAACAUGGGCCCAUAAAAUCACAAGAGCCCUUAAAGUAGAAGAGGAGGUCAGAGGAUGCAGCAGGAGAGGAGGUCAGAUGACAAAGCAGCAGAGGAGGUCAGAGGAUGCAGCAGGAGAGGAGGUCAGAGGAUGCAGCAGCAAAGGAGGUCAGAGGAUGCAGCAGCAGAGGAGGUCAGAGGAUGCAGCAGCAGAGGAGGUCAGAGGAUGCAGCAGCAGAGGUGGUCAGAGGAUGCAGCAGCAGAGGAGGUCAGAGGAUGCAGCAGGAGAGGAGGUCAGAGGAUGCAGCAGGAGAGGAGGUCAGAGGAUGGUUUGAAGCCCUGGAAGGAUUCAGGGAGCAGCUGCUGGCUUUGAAGAUGGAGGGGCUGUGGGAGAAGCAAGCUGGCAGCCUCCAGACUCUGAGAAUGGCGCCUGGCCCACCCCUACUGCCCAUGAGAAGACAGAGUCUUUAGUCCUACAACUGCCUGAGGAGGAAAUGAAAUGUACAACCACCUGCAUUAGCCUGAGAGUGGAUUCUAUUCCAGAGCCUCCAUAUAUAAGCCCUGGCUGGCUGACACUGAUUUUAGUCCAGUGAGAACCAGCCCAGAGACUCCAGUGUGACAUUCCUGAAUUUAUGACCUGCAGAACUGAGAGACAUUACAUCCGCCUUGUUUUAUUGCUCUGUCUAGGUCUGCCCUUGGACAAAGCCAACUGAAAUUGGGAACUCAAACCUAUAUGGGUUUCUUCUGCAACUCCUCUCUCCAAUCUGCCUGCUUUUGCUUGUUUUUCAGAGUCCUCAGGUAGUUGCUUUUUGUAUUUUAUCCAGAGGUUUUCGUUGUAAUUAGUGGGAACAGAGGCUGUAGUGGUCUUAACUGAUCCCAGUCAGAACUGAAAACCGUUCUGUCUCCUCUUGUUGAAUGCCUGAUAGACCUUUGCAUUCAAUUCUUCAUGCCUUGUCAUUUCUCUUCAAUGUUUCCCAUAUGCUCAUUUUUCUAAGAUGCAAAUUCUGGGGCCAGCCUGGUGGCACAGUGGUUAAAUUUGCCCACUCAGCUUCAGUGGCCUGGAAUUCCCUGGUUUGGAUCCUGGUUGCAGACCUACACACCACUCAUCAGGGCGUGCUGUGGCAGUGUCCCACAUAUAAGCAGAGGAAGAUUGGCAACAGAUGUUGGCUCAGGGCCAGUCUUCCUCACACACACACACAAAAAGUAAAUUGCAAAUCCUAUGAUAAAUACUAUGACUAUCUUUGAACAAUAAUCUUUGUGAUUAUCACUGAUUAAUAUUAUUACAUAAUUCUCAAUUGCUUUCAAAAGUGGUUGGAAAAAAUCAUAUUCCUACCAACAACAUGUAGGAAUGACUCACUAUAUUCUCCCUCACAUUUAUUUUUAUUAUUUAAAAAAUGACGUCUGAUAGUUUUUUAUAUGCACA